rnacentral:rRNA from 1 species
CCUACGGGAGGCAGCAGUGAGGAAUAUUGGUCAAUGGGCGGAAGCCUGAACCAGCCAAGUAGCGUGCAGGAUGACGGCCCUACGGGUUGUAAACUGCUUUUAUACGGGAAUAACGCGCGUUACGUGUAGGCCUUUGCAUGUACCGUAUGAAUAAGGACCGGCUAAUUCCGUGCCAGCAGCCGCGGUAAUACGGAAGGUCCGGGCGUUAUCCGGAUUUAUUGGGGUUAAAGGGGGCGUAAGCCGCAUGUCAAGCGCGCUGUGAAAUGUCAGGGCUGAACCCCGGCCUUGCCGCGGAAACUGGCGUGCUAGAGUGUGCGGGAGGCAUGCGGAAUUCGUCGUGUAGCGGUGAAAUGCUUAGAUAUGACGAAGAACCCCGAUUGCGAAGGCAGCUUGCUGCAGCGGAACUGACGCUGAUGCUCGAAAGCGCGGGUAUCGAACAGGAUUAGAUACCCCUGUAGUC